GGGCCCGUGGCGCAGCCUGGAUAGCGCGGCAUGAUUGAAACCAAUGUAGUUUCGAUCCCGGAAGCCUUCUAAGCUGAUGGUCGCGGGUUCAAAUCCCGCCGGGCCCG
rnacentral:tRNA from 1 species